AAACACGUGAUCACGUCACUGAUUGCUUGAUGAGCUACGAGGUAACAAGCAUCAUUUCUGUGACGGAUUUCCUAAGAAUAAGCCACAGAAAAAUACGUACAAGCUAGCUAUCCUCAGUUAUCUUAUGGGGAGUUCAUUCAUCAAUCAUUACAUCUGUGAUGAGUGCAUCUGGUUGAGCAAAUUACACCUUGGAGAUAAAGGUGAUCGACAACAGCCCCAAGCCUCGCAAGCUGUCAAUUUUCACUGCUCGAAGAAGACGAUUGUGUUAAUUAUCGACGUUUUGAAGUGUUUUUGUCAAAUAUGUACAUGUUACAUGGAUUAAAUUAUGUUAUGGAAAUUUUAUAAACUUUCAUCAGCUGUUGUCUAACUGUUGCUACAAAAGCUUAAUUGCAUAUGUGAUUUAAUAAUUUUCCAACUUUGUGUUUAUGUAUAGAAGUUGGGCAUGAAAUUAUUUGUUUGAUAUACUGACCAAUGGAAAAGCCAUUUAAGAGAAAUUGACGAUCGGUUCACUUGAAUUUUCCUAAACUAUUUGUAUAUAUUAUUGUAAGACAAUGAAUUUUUGUAGGAAAAGGAAAAUAUUAAAAUUGCAAGAUCUCUAACG